GGUGGUAGCAAUACCUUAUUGGGGCACGGGNGCGUAACGCGUAACCCACCUACCCCGUUCUGGGGGAUAGCCCGCCGAAAGGGGGAUUAAUACCCCAUAAAACCCCACCGUGGGAUCUCGUAAUGGUUAAAGAUUUAUUGGAAUUGUAUGGGGUUGCGUGCCAUUAUCUAUUUGGGGGGGUAACGGCCCCCCCAGGCGACAAUGGCUAGGGGAGCUGAGAGGCUGGUCCCCCACACGGGCACUGAGAUACGGGCCCCACUCCUACGGGAGGCAGCAGUAGGGAAUAUUGGGCAAUGGGGGAGAGCCUGACCCCCCCAUGCCGCGUGCGGGACAAAAGCUUUUUGAGUCGUAAACUGUUUUUGCCAGGGAAAAAUAAAGCCCAUGUGUGGGUCGACAACAGUACCUGGUGAAUAAACACCGGCUAACUCUCUGCCACCACCCGCGGUAAUACAGAGAGUGCAAGCGUUGUCCGGAUUUUUUGUGUUUAAAGGGUGCGUA
rnacentral:rRNA from 1 species